GUCCACGCCCUAAACGAUGUCGACUAGUUGUUCGGGAAGGUGACUUCUUGAGUAACGUAGCUAACGCGUGAAGUCGACCGCCUGGGGAGUACGGUCGCAAGAUUAAAACUCAAAGGAAUUGACGGGGACCCGCACAAGCGGUGGAUGAUGUGGAUUAAUUCGAUGCAACGCGAAAACCUUACCUACCCUUGACAUGCCUGGAAGUCUGCAGAGAUGCGGAUGUGCCUUCGGGAACCAGGACACAGGUGCUGCAUGGCUGUCGU
rnacentral:rRNA from 1 species